rfam:Candida parapsilosis strain CDC317 annotated contig 006110
AAUGUUAUCGCAAUAGUAAUUGAACUUAGUACGAGAGGAACCGUUCAUUCAGAUAAUUGGUUUUUGCGGCUGUCUGAUCAGGCAACGCCGCGAAGCUACCAUCUGCUGGAUUAUGGCUGAACGCCUCUAAGUCAGAAUCCAUGCUAGAAAGCGAUGAUUUUUGCCCUGCACAUUUUAGAUGGAUAAGAAUAAGACUUUUUAGUCGCUAGACCAUAGCAGGCUGGCAACGGUGCGCUUAGCGGAAAGGCUUUGUGUGCUUGCCGGCGAAUAGCAAUGUCGACAUGCGCGGGGAUAAAUCCUUUGUAUACGACUUAGAUGUACAACGGAGUAUUGUAAGCAGUAGAGUAGCCUUGUUGUUACGAUCUGCUGAGAUUAAGCUUCAGUUGUCUGAUUU